AACGAACGCUGGCGGCAUGCCUAACACAUGCAAGUCGAACGAGACCUUCGGGUCUAGUGGCGCACGGGUGCGUAACGCGUGGGAACCUGCCCUUAGGUUCGGAAUAACUCCCCGAAAGGGGUGCUAAUACCGGAUAAUGUCUUCGGACCAAAGAUUUAUCGCCUUUGGAUGGGCCCGCGUUGGAUUAGCUAGUUGGUAGGGUAAAAGCCUACCAAGGCGACGAUCCAUAGCUGGUCUGAGAGGAUGAUCAGCCACACUGGGACUGAGACACGGCCCAGACUCCUACGGGAGGCAGCAGUGGGGAAUAUUGGACAAUGGGCGAAAGCCUGAUCCGGCAAUGCCGCGUGAGUGAUGAAGGCCUUAGGGUUGUAAAGCUCUUUUACCCGGGAUGAUAAUGACAGUACCGGGAGAAUAAGCACCGGCUAACUCCGUG
rnacentral:rRNA from 1 species